rnacentral:lncRNA from 10 species
CUUGGCUCACUAUAAGCCUCCUGGCGGCUCCUUCCUGGGGCACUGGGCCAAACUCCUGACACGAUUAAGAAGAGGUUUUGGAACUGGGCCAGACUAGGAAAACAGGAAAGAUGACGAACAAAGCUUCCCUCCUUCUGAGGGUUGUUUAUUCCAGUGUUCCUUCAGUUGAGUUUUCUGGGUACACAGCAGCCCUUGGCUUUCCAUCCCAUGUGCAGCCUCUGGCCCAGCACUUAGUCCACUCUCAGUCAUAGAGCUUAUCACACAGACUUGCUCCAGUGCCCACUUGUCCAACUGCCCCAAACUCCUGGAAACCAGAAAGAACACAGAUGUAUCUCAACUGAGUGCCUACCAUAUUUCUACAGGAGGAACUGUCUUCGCAUAAAAGCCCCUCUGCAGCUCCUUAAGCCCCCACCACCACGGAAGGAAUAUACUUCCUCACCCUGUUGAUAUUGCACUUGGCCACGUGACUUGCUUUGGCCAUGAGAAUAUGUGUGGAAGUCACAGGGGCCAGGCCCAAGGCACAAAGUGUUUCCAUUCAUCCCUUUGAGCAACUGUCCUCGGCCAUGAGAACCACAAGUCCCAGACAGUGGAGGCUCCUUCAGCCUGGACUCCAAAUGAGAAGAUAUAUGAGACAGCCACCUACUCACCCCAAAGCCUGGAGCCCAGCCCAGCUAGCCCCAGAAAGCCCU